CACGCCGUAAACGAUGAGUGCUAAGUGUUAGGGGGUUUCCGCCCCUUAGUGCUGAAGUUAACGCAUUAAGCACUCCGCCUGGGGAGUACGACCGCAAGGUUGAAACUCAAAGGAAUUGACGGGGGCCCGCACAAGCGGUGGAGCAUGUGGUUUAAUUCGAAGCAACGCGAAGAACCUUACCAGGUCUUGACAUCCUCUGACCGCCUUGGAGACAAGGUUUCCCCUUCGGGGGCAGAGUGACAGGUGG
rnacentral:rRNA from 1 species